GGUGGGAUGUCGCGGCAAGUACUAGGCUCAUAACCCAAUGGUCGCUGGUUCAAAUCCAGCCCCGCACAACCA
rnacentral:tRNA from 1 species